rnacentral:hammerhead_ribozyme from 1 species
GCACUGAUGAAGAGUCCCAAACUAGGAUGAAACAGCUGUCCAGUAC